UCAUGGUAUAAAAGAAAAAGGGGAAACACUUGAAAAUUCUGCCCUCCAUUGAUUGGACUAACCAUCACUGAGAAUAGAACCCAGAACUGGGUCGUGUCCCCAGGAUACUUCUAUCAAUAUAAGCUGUGGGGAUGGACAGGCAUGUAGUUUAUGACACAAUAGCAACAUGGAGGAAAUUUGUUGCUCAAGUCACUUUAGUAUUUUGCUUAUUUUCCAACCCAGUGUCUAGAAUUCAAACAUCAUUCUUAUGACACUCUUUGAGACAGUUUGUAUUUUCCUAUUGUGUACAUAGCAACUGAAAUUAAAUAUAUGUCUCAUGUCUGGUUUCACUUUCUGAUAAAUAGGAAAAAUGUAGUGCUUUAUUAUGUCACUCUUACAAUGUCUUCUUCUUCCUCCUCCUCCUCCUCUUCCUCUCCCUUUCCCUCUCCCUCCCACUCUCCCUCUCCCUCUCCUUCUUCCUCUUCCUCUUCCCUUUCAAUAGAGGUGGGUGCUAUUCUUAUUUCUUAGAAGACUCUACCUAGACAACACAUUUUCAUGAUGUUAUCAUUCAAGGUUUGUUUUGCCCAAUACAUUUAUACACUGCUUCAUACCUGUGGUUUAUAGGUUUAUAUUUAGGGAACAAAAUAGGAUUUGGGUUAUCAAUUGCUUUCUUGAAUAUGAAAAUGUUUCUAAUUUGCAAUUCAAUAGAAACAAGGUGUGCCAAUAUUGUAGAGAAAUCCAGCAGGGCAAUAUGUGAAACCAUAUGACUUUCAAACAGGUUCCCCCCAUUUUGAAUGACCUUCUUUAUAUGAUUAUUUCCUUUAUAACCACUUCUGUGUGUCCAAAGAAAUCAUCCUAGUCAACCACAAAUGCUUCCAAUAAGAGUAUCUUGCACUGUUUGAAAAUACAUUUGAAAACCAUUAUACCAACUAACACAACAGGAGGAGAGAGGCAGUAAGUCGGUGAGCAUGGGAUCUGCAGUCAAAGUUCGUGUGCUCUACUACCUGCAUGAGGAGAUGCCGUUGGUGAAUUCCAGUGCCUUUCUUUUUCCCUGGGAAGUGGUGAUGCCACUUGCAGAUGGAUCAAAUCAAAACCAAAUUGCAUUUCCCUAGUUGUUUUUCGGUUGUCUUGAUUCGCUUCAUUUGCCAUGGUUUUUGCAUUGAUUUUCUUUCUUAGAAAAGAGGGUGGAGGGAUUGCAGAGCACAUGACCAGAUGUGUGACGUCAUGCUGCAAAUGUGACGUGAGUGUGCGCAUCUGUAAUGGAUGGGUCCUAAGUUAAGCCAUGUCUCAACUUGAGUCAGUAACAAAAUCAUAGUAGAAAAGAAUCCAGUCGUUUGCUUUUACCAGUGCACUGCCUCUGUUGAAAUGUUUGCUGCUUUAAUGAGAUCUUUCAGAGACUGAGGAAAGAAUACUGACCUAAAGCAUGUGUCCCUAAUCACCCAAGUAGGGGAGGAAAUGUCACUGUCAUUUUUGUCUGAAACUUUAGGGUUAAAUACAUCCCUGACACCAAGGAACAACAGAUUUUAGAUGUUCAAGACAAGAAACUAGAUUGAUAUCAUUGAAAUGGCCACUACGUCCCGCUGAUCACCUCAAAACUAUACAAAAGGAACUAUAGUACUCACAAUUUAUGAUUGUUAGCUAGCUUACAUAUUUUGUCAUUUUUGUUAAACAUCCCAUAUCUUUUGCUAUUUAUUUCUUCAUUGUCCAUAGACAUUUAAGUGGGUAUGGACUUGUUCUGGCCUAUUCUUUCCAAAUCCUUUUUGAAGAGACAAGGAACUAGAAAACAUAGCAUUUCCUCAAUAUAAAUUCACAUGACUCACAGGCUUCCCCUUUCUCUUCUGUGUUCCAACUGCCUUCCCUCACACAGUCACAUGCUCCACCCAGACAACAGAAAAUAAGCAAAACAGUUCAAUCUGGUAUGUUCAAAAGUACGCUAUAAAGGCAUCGACUCACUUGUUUCUACCCCUACAACCUGACAGUAUGGAAAAUUAUAAAUAUAAUUGUAUAUACAUGUUAUAAAUAUUUGAAAUUACAUUUACCAAAAGAAUGCCUUAUAAAGAAAAAACUCAUAUAUGAUUUCUAAUCUUUAAUAAAAUAAAUUAUCCCAAAA
rnacentral:lncRNA from 1 species